rnacentral:rRNA from 1 species
UACGAAGGGGGCUAGCGUUGCUCGGAAUCACUGGGCGUAAAGGGUGCGUAGGCGGGGUUUUAAGUCAGGGGUGAAAUCCUGGAGCUCAACUCCAGAACUGCCUUUGAUACUGGCAAUCUCGAGUCCGGGAGAGGUGAGUGGAACUGCGAGUGUAGAGGUGAAAUUCGUAGAUAUUCGCAAGAACACCAGUGGCGAAGGCGGCUCACUGGCCCGGUACUGACGCUGAGGUGCGAAAGCGUGGGGAGCAAACAGG